rnacentral:lncRNA from 1 species
CUGGGUACUGUACUUCUUGGCCUGUGGAAAUCCCUACUGGGCCCCCAACUCCUUGUGUAUCCAGUUGACCCAGGAUGCAUCCGGAGCUAGUAUUGUACCGAGCUGAACGACUGAGAAGGAUUGAACUUGACCGCUGACCUUCUCUAUCCCAACUCUAUCAGCACCAUGAACGGGAGUCUGGGCAGAGUGUUCCAGGGAUUAACCAUAACGAAGAAGCAAACU